AUGUUUCAUGUAAGUCAGUCCUGUAAAGUGAUAAAGAUACUGGCUAUUAUUUUAAAGCUUUGUGACCAUGGUCUUUGUCUACUUCACGGUUCUGCAGUAGCUGAACCAAAUCAUUGGAGACCAAUAGUUGGAGGAGUCACAGGAGUUUCUGUGUUCAUCUGUGUGGUCUGUGCCAUUUGGUGGUUAAAGUUCAAGCAUCCAUCUUCACAUGAGGCACAGACUCUAACAGGUGAAGUCCUGGCUCUUCGUAAUCCAGUAAGACCUGUAGAAGAAACUAUCCAUUAUGGAGAGCUGGACUUCUCCAUGCGGAGGCCUGAACCAUCCUCUGACCCGAGGCAGAAUGGUGCACAGCAGAACACCGUGUACGCUCAGGUCCAAGUGUCCAACAACAGCAAAACACAGUCAGAUGACGACCAAGAGAACCUCUACACUCAAGUUAAGAAUUAGUUCAUGAUUUUAGAUAAAUGAAUUACCUGAAUUUAAAACAGGGAAACACAAUGAAUGGUUUGAUUCAGUUAAUAAAAGGAAUUCCAUCUUCCA
rnacentral:lncRNA from 1 species